GGGCUCAUCGUCCAAUAGCAGGACGCCGGCUCCGCACGCCGAUAAUCCCGGUGCAAAUCCGGGUGGGUCCA
rnacentral:tRNA from 1 species